rnacentral:rRNA from 1 species
AUAGUGAACCAGUACCGUGAGGGAAAGGCGAAAAGAACCCCGGCGAGGGGAGUGAAAAAGAACCUGAAACCGUGUACGUACAAGCAGUGGGAGCACAGGUUUACCUGUGUGACUGCGUACCUUUUGUAUAAUGGGUCAGCGACUUAUAUUCUGUAGCAAGGUUAACCGUAUAGGGGAGCCGGAGGGAAACCGAGUCUUAACCGGGCGUUAAGUUGCAGGGUAUAGACCCGAAACCCGGUGAUCUAGCCAUGGGCAGGUUGAAGGUUGGGUAACACUAACUGGAGGACCGAACCGACUAAUGUUGAAAAAUUAGCGGAUGACCUGUGGCUGGGGGUGAAAGGCCAAUCAAACCGGGAGAUAGCUGGUUCUCCCCGAAAGCUAUUUAGGUAGCGCCUCGUGAAUUCAUCUCCGGGGGUAGAGCACUGUUUCGGCUAGGGGGCCAUCCCGGCUUACCAACCCGAUGCAAACUGCGAAUACCGGAGAAUGUUAUCACGGGAGACACACGGCGGGUGCUAACGUCCGUCGUGAAGAGGGAAACAACCCAGACCGCCAGCUAAGGUCCCAAAGUCAUGGUUAAGUGGGAAACGAUGUGGGAAGGCCCAGACAGCCAGGAUGUUGGCUUAGAAGCAGCCAUCAUUUAAAGAAAGCGUAAUAGCUCACUGGUCGAGUCGGCCUGCGCGGAAGAUGUAACGGGGCUAAACCAU